rnacentral:rRNA from 1 species
AUUGAACGCUAGCGGGAUGCCUUACACAUGCAAGUCGAACGGAGUGGCGAACGGGUGAGUAAUGUAUCGGAACCUGCCCAGUAGCGGGGGAUAACUACGCGAAAGCGUAGCUAAUACCGCAUACUAUCGGAUCGGCCUCGAUCGGAUUAGCUAGUUGGUGGGGUAACGGCUUACCAAGGCGACGAUCCGUAGCUGGUUUGAGAGGACGACCAGUCACACUGGGACUGAGAAACGGCCCAGACUCCUACGGGAGGCAGCAGUGGGGAAUUUGGGAAAAUGGGGGAAACCCUGAGCCAGCCAUCCCGCGUGGGAGAAGAAGGCCUUCGGGUUGUAAAGCACUGUUGGCAGGAAGGCGGUACCAGCAGAAUAAGCACCGGCUAACUACGUGCCAGCAGCCGCGGUAAUAC